UGGCAACAGCUCAAAUUUGAAAUCUGGCCCCCUCGGGGCCCGAGUUGUAAUUUGGAGAAGAUGCUUCGGGUGUGGCCCCGGUCUAAGUUCCUUGGAACAGGACGUCACAGAGGGUGAAAAUCCCGUA
rnacentral:rRNA from 1 species